GUGAAUCAUCAAAUUUUUGAACGCAACUUGCACUCCCUGGUAUUCCUGAGAGUAUGCCUGUUUGAUUGUCAGUUUAAAUAAAAAUCGGUGUGUUUGCUGCCUUUCGUGGUGACGUACCGGUUUUGGUUCGUCGUUCCUUCGGUUAAGUGACCUAAAAUUUUGCAUGCUUUUUUUCUAACGUAUUUAAAUGAUUUUACGUACGUUUGCGAUAUUUAAUGCUAUGUGUGGUCAUCCUCAUGUUUCGCUCCUAUCAUUUUUCAUCAAAAUGAACUCAAAUCAGGUGAGAGUACCCGCUGAACUU
rnacentral:misc_RNA from 1 species